AUUGAACGCUGGCGGCAGGCCUAACACAUGCAAGUCGAGCGGAUGAAGGGAUCUUGCUCCUGGAUUCAGCGGCGGACGGGUGAGUAAUGCCUAGGAAUCUGCCUGGUAGUGGGGGAUAACGUCCGGAAACGGGCGCUAAUACCGCAUACGUCCUGAGGGAGAAAGUGGGGGAGCUCCGGACCGCACGCUAUCAUUUGAGCCUAGGUCGGAUUAGCUAGUUGGUGGGGUAAAGGCCUACCAAGGCGACGAUCCGUAACUGGUCUGAGAGGAUGAUCAGUCACACUGGAACUGAGACACGGUCCAGACUCCUACGGGAGGCAGCAGUGGUGAAUAUUGGACCAUGGGCGAAAGCGUGAUCCAGACCUGCCGCGUGUGUGCAGAAGGACUUCGGAUUGUAAAGCACUUGAAGUAGGGAGGAGGGGCAGUAAGUUAAUACCUAUCUGUUUUGACGUUACCAACAGACUAAGCAACGGCUAACUUCGUG
rnacentral:rRNA from 1 species